rnacentral:rRNA from 1 species
UACGAACUGUGCGAACGUUAUUCGGAAUCACUGGGCUUACAGGGUGCGUAGGCGGCUUAGCAAGUCAGGUGUGAAAGCCCCCGGCUCAACCGGGGAACUGCGCUUGAAACUGCUGAGCUCGAGUCAGCUAGAGGUACACGGAACUUCCAGUGGAGCGGUGAAAUGUGUUGAUAUUGGAAGGAACAUCGGAGGCGAAAGCGGUGUACUGGGGCUGGUCUGACGCUGAGGCACGAAAGCCAGGGGAGCAAACGGG